AUUGAACGCUAGCGGGAUGCCUUACACAUGCAAGUCGAACGGAGUGGGGAACGGGUGAGUAAUGUAUAGGAAGGUGCCCAGUAGCGGGGGAUAACUACGCGAAAGCGAAGCUAAUACAGCAUACUAUUGGCGCGGCCGAUAUCGCAGUAGCUCGUUGGUAGGGUAAGGGCUUACCAAGACGACGAUCCAUAGCCGGUUUGAGUGGACGACCAGCCACACUGGAACUGAGACACGGUCCAGACUCCUACGGGAGGCAGCAGUGGGGAAUAUUGGACAAUGGGCGAAAGCCUGAUGCAGCCAUCCCGCGUGUGCGAAGAAGGCCUUCGGGUUGUAAAGCACUUUUAGCAGGAAGGCGGUACCUGCAGAAGAAGCACCGGCUAACUACGUGCCAGCAGCCGCGGUAAUUC
rnacentral:rRNA from 1 species